AGUGAACGCUGGCGGUAGGCCUAACACAUGCAAGUCGAACGGCAGCACAGUAAGAGCUUGCUCUUACGGGUGGCGAGUGGCGGACGGGUGACGAAUACAUCGGAAUCUACUUUUUCGUGGGGGAUAACGUAGGGAAACUUACGCUAAUACCGCAUACGACCUACGGGUGAAAGCAGGGGAUCUUCGGACCUUGCGCGAUUGAAUGAGCCGAUGUCGGAUUAGCUAGUUGGCGGGGUAAAGGCCCACCAAGGCGACGAUCCGUAGCUGGUCUGAGAGGAUGAUCGGCCACACUGGAACUGAGACACGGUCCAGACUCCUACGGGAGGCAGCAGUGGGGAAUAUUGGACAAUAGGCGCAAGCCUGAUCCAGCCAUACCGCGUGGGUGAAGAAGGCCUUCGGGUUGUAAAGCCCUUUUGUUGGGAAAGAAAAGCAGCAGGUUAAGACCCCGCUGUUCUGACGGUACCCAAAGAAUAAGCACCGGCUAACUUCGUG
rnacentral:rRNA from 1 species